GGUGAGGGUACAGGGGACAUUUGGGAUAGCAUUUGAAAUGUAAAUGAAGAAAAUAUCUAAAAAAAAAAAAUUAAAAAAAUAACAAAAAAAUUGAAAAACAAAAGACAAAGCAACUACAAAAAAGUCCACUUUGGAGAUGAUACCUGCAAUGGUAACGAUUAGGAGCAGGAGCAGGACCAGGAGGAUGACAAUGAGUUUGAGGCCAGUUCAUGCUUAUCGCAAGACCCUGUCUCAUAAAUCAAACAACGUAGGUAAGACUUAAGAAGGACUACCACUAGGGCCAUUAAACAAAACGCAGAGUAUCCAGGGCUACAGCACUUUGCAGGCAUAAGAAUUCGUGUCUUUACACAAGUUCUGACUGCAUGAAAAAGUCCCCACUGUGGCCGUGAUGUAGACAAGAAAACAGCCUUCAAAUGCUACCAACGCUUUGACACUGGUUUCUGUUAUCUUUAGAAUGCUCUACAGCCUAUAAAUAACUGCAUCUAGAAACACGAAUCUCAUAAUCUGGAUAGAAAGGGAAGUCUUGAGAGGAAAACAAAGAAAGAACAUGUAAUAGAAGACCAAGGAACUGCUCAUCGGUCUUUGCGUCCACGGGCAGUUCGGACUUGCACGCCCCAAGGUCAAGUUCAUGGAGUCAGCUGUACUCUGUUCCUGGGCUGACUAUUCCUCACCAACUUUCCUCUACACUGCUGCCUAUGUUUCCUAACCGAAGACCCUUAAAGCUUUGCUAAUUGCUCACUGAACACAGUGACAAGGCCUUCCUAGUUCCCAGCUCAAAUCUUCAAACCGAUGCCUCUCAUGCUUCCUCAUCUCUUUUAGUCCAACACUUAGGAAACUCGUCACCUGUCACCUUUAUGACAUUCCUCUCCUUGCCCCUCCCCCACCCCAGUUUGCUUCCAGUUCCCAGAAUGUUCAUCCUGAAUUAACCUCGCCCUUAUUUCCUCUAUGUAAUUUACGCCUCUCUUCUAUUGCUUUCACGAGGAUUUCGUUUCCUGCAUGGUGACUUGUGUCUCUACUGAGUUGAGACUCUCCUCUUCCCCAAAAGCCAUGGCAUCUCUUGUGUUCUUUACAGAGUGAUAGCCUGUGUUACAGCCACCUGAGAGUUUGUGAGCACUGCCUUUAAAUGUUCCCACUACAAGGCUCCUAGAGAGCUGCCCCAGGAGCCGGCCUUCCUAACAAGUUCCUGGGGUUUGCAGCUGUUGCUGCUGACACAAGGCUGACACAUUUGAGAAACACUACUUGCCAAAAUACAAAGAAGAGUGGAGGUCAAAUGUAGAAUCCUCUGUCUGGGUGUAGCAGAGAAGACAGGUUUUAUAGCGUGCUGUUUAAACGUGGAAAGUCAUGUUUGGUUUCCGCAUCCCUAGCUUAAUCUUUGAUCAAGCAGCUAACCCUUCGAAGUUUUCACUUCCUGGUCAGACAGCUGGGGCCAUCCUUAACUCUGUUAGAGGUUUGUUCUGCAAGGCCAAAUCCAAAUCCAAAAGGGAUCAUGCUACAAAAUGUUCUGGAAAUGCUUGCUACUAAUCCUUACCUAUGUAUUCCACACGUUUCCUUUAAAAGAAAGGGUUUUUUUUUUGUUUUGUUUUGUUUUUUUUGUUUUUUGCCCAGCUACAGCAGUUUAUCUCAAAACAUUUUCUUGGACUUUUGACUAAAGAACAUUUCCUUUGAGAUUAAUGCAAUAGUAAUUUCCAUUUCAUUUGAAGAGGCUUUGAAAAGUAAGGAAUCAGGUACAUCAAAAUAAUUAUUUUAUAAAGGAGCUAGCAUUGAAAAAAAUAUAAUGUAUAAAACCAGGUUGCUGAAGCAAAAUGUCAUCUCCCACUGCUUUGUCAGUCCAAGGCAUUUAGUCGUUGCAGGAACAUUAUAAAACAUAGUUCAAUUUUCUUUAUUGUUACUUUUCUUGGGGGGGGUUGGAGUUAUUUUUUUUAUUAUGGAUUUUAUGAUAAAUAACUGAGCUUCAACAGCACUUUUGAAUUUGCUAGACAUUAAAACAAUAGAGAAAGACCAUCUUAUAAAUUGAAACUCACAUGUGUGAACACUAAAUGCUGGGAUUUGAUUUCUUUGUUUCUAUAGAAACAAAAGAAAAUUGAGAUUAAAAUAAGCUAAAAUGGAAUGUGUUUUAUGAAAUAGAUAAAGGAGCUUAUUUUACUUGUGGGCUGUGCAGUGUGGUAAAAAUUUUUACAUUUAAAAUCCAAGCUGUCUUUGGACCAUUCUGCCUUAUUAUAAGGAAAGGGCCAAUGGAAUGGGGGUUGGGCUGGAGACUCCAAAGUAGAGGUUCAGUGUAGGAUGCCAUGCUGCUAUGGUGAAUAGGUAGUUUGAUAUCAGCAGAAUAGCCAAUCUUUUUGUUGUUUCCUUCUUCUUAGAGACAUUUCAGUGGCUGGCUGGAUAAGGGGCAAUGAAAACAGUCUUCAAUGUAAAAACCAAGGCCAAUAACUUCUGUGGUGUUAAAGUCUUGGAAACAGUUUAGCCAAGACUGUUAUCAGUGAUAAUGAGUCCUUGUGUUGCUAAAAACAGACCAACAGCCAGGUAAUAGUGGUGUAUUUCUUUAGUGUCAGAACUUGGGAAGCAGAGACAGAUAGAUCUUUGUUCAAGGCCAGCUUCAUCUACAGAGAGUUCCAGGACAGCCAGGGUUACACAGAGAAACCCUUUCUUGAAAAAGAAACAACAACAAC
rnacentral:lncRNA from 1 species